CAUUUCUGCAUUAUGUUGAUUGAUAUUAACCAUCUUCAUAGGAAAUUAUUUCCAAUUCGUGACAUCCAAAAGACGAUUGACUCAGAUUUAUCUCCUUGUAGUGCAAGCUGAAAAUGGAGACCUGCAAGGUUAUCCCUAUCCGUCACCGCCAGCAGCAGCAGAAGUUCCAGUCUCAAUAGAGUCUGUGUCUAAAGAGCACAACAACAAAGGUCAUGGUGGAGCAGUAACAAUGCCCACAGAGAAUAGCCACCUCCAGACUGUGGCUGUAAGUGCAUCCACAGGGACAGAUUUGUUCCAUACGCCACAUGAAAGGCACAAUUUCACGAAUGCCACAACUGCUGAAGAUGCAAUUGCUGCUUCAUCAACUGGAGGCUUUGUUUGGAAAGAGGGCUCCGAUUUACCUAUGCCGGCUGAGGCCACUGAAGCAAAUCUCACAUUGAUCUCUAAUUAUGAAGCUGGAUUUGAAUCGAUGAAGAAUGGCACCGUGAUGCCUGUGGCUCAUUUGUCCAAAGGCGUGGAGGAAGAGAAAGAGAAAGCCUCAGAAUUGCCGCUUCACUCUCUACUUGUUAACAGGAAUCAAAGAAUCGCUGAGUCUAUCACUCUUAUGUCCACACGACGGAGGCUGGGAGUACCUAUGGUGACUGCCACUCGUCCUCACAUAAUUGAUAACUGGGCCAAGUCAAAUGACAAUGAGGAAAAACGAGGCCAAGACGCAGAUGAAAAUGGGAUUUUGGAAUUGAGUGAGUCAGAAUCCAUCUUGCAUGACAGAAAGGAAGUUUCUUUGACUACGGAGCGCGUGAUGACAAACAUGUGUUUGAAUUGCCUGCAAGAAAAAAGGCCAUCGUCAACAGAAGAAAUGGCUGUUCUGUCUGCGUUGUUCGACCGAGGCAGCUCACUCAGUCUUGGAGGAAAUGGAAAUAUGCUUACUGUAAACUCCAGUCACCACAAGGCCUCAAUGCCGAGCUCAUUUGAAGCGACAACAAAGAAACAAGAGGACAGAACAGUAUUAUUUGAUGGUGCCAAAACAUCCAAAAAGAGCACAUUUGAUUUCUCUGUAAAUCUUUUGGAUGGGCUAGAUUAUGAGUUCAUACCACCCCUUUCCUCAUUAAACUCUGAAAUGAAUCUCAGUAAAACCAUGUUGAAUGAUUCAUUUGCUAGUACAUCUUUCUCAAACUCGGGAACGAUUGAAGUCAAGGCAAACACAACCAGAACAGUGUUUCUUACUUCAAAGGUGGAAAAUAUGACAGUUUCCAGAUUGAGUGAUAUUAGCAAAUCUUUUGAUAAAAGGUUGUUAUCAACAACCAGCAUGCCUUAUCCUUUAACUUCAGAGAUCUUUCACACUUUAUUAUUAUCAUUGAGAGAUAAAGAAGAAAAUAUAUCUGGGAAGACUGUGAAUCUCAGAAACCAGUCAAAAUUGGUUUCACAAAUCCAAGAUAAUUCAUCUGUAAAACUACAAAACAUAUCCUCCGGUUUACUUCAUAGUUUUCUUGGCAAUCACACAUUGGCGGGUGUUGACAUUACAAAUAAGGACACAGAGUUUAGUUUAGAAGAUGGGGGAGGGGGAGAGCGGGAGCAUGCUGUUGGGCAAGUUAUGACAAUUCCUCUCACCAAUGCUCCAUCUCCUUCUGUCCAUGUUAUCUCUGACCAGAACAUUGAAAACAGUGGGGUUAAUGACCCCAUCAGUGGGGCUAAUGACCCCAACAAUGGAUCAAUGAUAAGUGGUAUGCUAGACUCGUUUAAUUCUCUCUUUAGCCAAGCUCGUGAAAUAAUCACAUCAAAAAGCCACACCACUGACCACAUUGACAAAUCAGCCUUGCCUAUGAGAAUGCCAUCAAUCGAAAGCCAAAGUGCAACAACAUCCUUCCGCUCUACGAGGCAGACCACGGCAGCUGUCAAAGUUCCUCCUGCCUCUCAGGCUCUGACAGGGAGUGCGAAAUCUUUGAUGUCUGUGUUGAGUACCACUGGCCACCUGCCAGCACAGCCCAGUGUUCUGUUCAAAGAGCAGCAGCCUAUGAGCCUCCUGCCAGACGUCCCUAACAUGCAACGUGCAUCUGUAACUAUGAUGAGAACAUUGUCCAAAAAGCCGUUUGCCGACAAUGCAAACGGUAUCGAUAAACGGACUGCGCCUCCAGUUGUUUUGUCACAGACAGUGAAGCCAAGUGCUAAAGUAAAUGCUCAGUUGCCCAGAACAACAGAGAAAGGACUUACGUUUUCCGCAAAGCGUAUUUCUGAAACCACAAGUAAGUUAGACAUUUAUGUGUCCGCCAUGAUGACGACAAGAACACACGUCGAUGUGAAAAGGUCAACCGAGCAAAGACUUGCCGUAGGUCGCGGUGACAUAAAGUCGAGUGGUGACACCUUUCGAAUCUCUGCCGACAGUGCUGGGAACCUUGAACCACCUAAAGAAUUGAAAAAUGUGAACAUACUAAAGCUGAAAAACAACAGAGGACAGGAGUCUGACUUCUCUCAGCCUCAAGGUUCUCUUGAGGAGGUGACAGAAAUGACAAUGGACAAGAGCAGUACUGUUCACCAUGGGAUAAUGAAAACCACAGAAAGGCUGGCUCGAGAGGAAAAACGCACCUCUCCAAACAUGUCUCCCUCCCAUCUUUUAAUGAAACUGUUGGGAGCAACGGCAAGAGACAUUCAUCGGGCUGAAAAUCUAUCUGAAUCGCUGGAAGAAGAAAAUAAGUCAUUCUCUAGCCAAGCGCCAAGUCAUAAAAUGCCAGUGCAGACUGUGAUAACCCCAAGCCAGACACUAUCACGAAUGGUAUCUUUUAAUAAGAAACCACAUAUUGUGUCUAAACCACAGCAAUUCUCUACCCAUAGGGUCACGCUUACAAAAUAUGCCGAUGCGUCAACAAAACAUAAGCAAAGCAAUCAGCAAAGGCACUCAACAAAAGGUAAAAAACAAGUGUUUUUGACGACUUCCUCGCGGAGCACAGGCCCUCCAAAUCAAAUCAGAAAUGUGAAUGUAACAUUUGACGUCUCUCCAGAGAGUGUGAAGUCAACAUUUUCUACACCUGACAGUGUUGGAAAUCUGUUUUCACUUACCGCUGCAAAAUCAUUAACCCCAGUUGGGCAGUCAACUAUUCAGCCUAAUAUUGCAGUAAAGACAUCUACUUCCCACACAUCAGUAAUUCAACAUGUUUCAGCUCAAAAGUAUCACAUAAGCAUUUCGACAUCAACAACAUCAGGAAACUCAGUCUCUCAGUCCAUAACUGUUGGAAAACAUCUACAGCGUGUAGGACCGGCGACACCUCUCUUUGACAUUGUUAAAGAGGAUGUCAUGACCACUGACAUCACUGACGCAUUAAAGGGGAGCCACCUUGUUCCCCUCUUACCGCCUCGUCCGUAUAAUGACACAUCGACUAGUCCACCCACCGACAAUUACUCGCCCACAGGGCCACUUACCGCCAGCCUGGCUUUGCAUCAUCGCCAAGGGCAAUCUUCUUCUGAGAUAAUGCCUUUCGGCGCUCCAUCUCAAAGCCAAUGGGACUCGUUUACAGAUUCGGAGGAGAAAGAGGAACGGCAUUCAAAUGCCUCACAUGCUUCUGCCGAUAACGAGCAAAUAAGCCCUUCAGAGGCUCCAAUAGUGCAUGAAGUGAAAAGUGAGCAUUCUGGGUUUAGCACAUGGACGGCGCCGUUCGCUACCGAUAGUUCUGCCACCAGCCACAUUAACUUAACUCAAUCACGACCUGAUGAGACCAUGGGAUUGAGGGCCAAGGAACCCGCCCUGCCACGUGCACUACUGCACCAGACCACUAAUGGGGUUGGGAAUGACCAUGCUUUGUCUGGAGUAAGUCCAGCGCAUGAGUCUGGUAGAAAGCUCCUGGGGUCUGGGAGUGGGUCAGAUCCAUUGGCCUUGCACCAGAGAAUUGGGUUAUCAUCCCCUGAUCUCCUCACUGGAUUAGCGAUAAUUUCCGAUGAUAUUUGUGCCACUGGAAACUACACGGCCGAGAUGAACUUGAACCUGGAGCGCGACGUUCUGCCCGGAGACUUGGUCCCGGCUCUGGGGAUUCUCCACGUGGUCAUCAACCUGAAAACCAACAACAGCCAGGUGAACCUAGAGAUAAAGUCCUGCUGUCUCUCGCCCACUGUUCAGCUUGAUGACAUCAACAUAACCUGUUAUGUGUUUUCCAGGUUACCGCUGAACCCGCGAGGAAUCAGGCUGUUACCCAGCAUCCUGUCAAAGCGCGCCAGCUUCACCAUCAGUCUCUUCCAGAUGAUUAAUUACUCCAUGGCAUACCUACACUGUGAUCUGAGCAUCUGCCUCAGGAACCAUACCGAGUGUGAGAGGCAGUGUCUUCAGCACAGAGACCUCUUCUCUGAAGAGGGUCCAGAGGCUAUCACCAAUCUGAGGAACCGCAUAUCCUUUGGUCCCAUGUUGAAAGGAGCAGAGAAUUCUUCUCUCCCGGGGGAGAUGGGUAAUUAUUAGCGCGACUAAGGAAUCAAAUGUGACCAGUCUUGAUAAUACGCUCAAAAGAUCCUUAUCAGAGAAGAAAUUAGUGCCUGCUGUGUGUAGACUGUGGUGCAUCACAAAUGGCACCCUAUUCCCUAUGGGCCCUGGUCAAAAGUAGUGCACUAUAUAGGGAAUAGGGUGCCAUUUGUGACAAUUUGUGUUACUGUAUGCAUUUCAGAUACAGCAGCUGAGAUGGAGAUUAUGCUUGUCAUCCUGGGGAUGGUGGUGGGGUGUUCGCUGAUGACGGGGACCCUGCUGCUUCUCUGGAUGGCCUAUAGACGGCGGAGGGCCGAUUGGAUGGUUUACUCAGAGUCCAGAGCGUGCUGCGGCUGCCUGCGUAGAGGAGACAUGAUCUUACCAUAGCCAAGUAGGAGACAAUGGUCAAUCACGUCAGCCUGCAGACCAGACCAGACCCUGACCAGAAUCAAUCCAAUUCACUCCUAUCAUACGUGACACCCGGGCCGAGCUUCUGUGGUCCCAUAUCUCACUCCCUUCACCGUCGCAGUGAAUGCCUUACCUUUACACUGUAGUAAUAUGACACAUAAACACAUGUACAGAACAGAUUACCUGAUGGUCGAUUAUCUUGGUCAAUUUUUUUGCAUGGUAACAAUUGCUAAUUCACCAAACAACUGUGCACAGUGAAGAUGAAUUGACGAUCAAGAGUGUUUUAUGAUCAUGUGACUUUUAACACGAUGUGUGUAUUGUGUAUACACCAUAUUAUUAUUUCUAGUCUCUUGUACUAAGUCCUCUAACCCUGCCACUAUCUGGAAGUGUUUGUUCAAAAAAAGUUUAUUAUCCUCUCAAUGAUUCUCAAUCAUCAUCUCAAGCAUGACGCAUAUUAUCAUACCAAUUCUGGCCAAUUGCUUUUAAAAACAAUACAGAUCACGGGCUACUUUCACUAAGACACCAAUGACACCGACAACUUAUUAACAUCCCUGUCUGCACUACUUCAUCAUGCACCAUCUUACCUCAAAUGCUACAACAGUUUGUUCCUGAUUUGCCACAACCUCAAAUGAUUAAACAACUUCCACAAUGCUCAG
rnacentral:lncRNA from 1 species